GCCUCUCCGAUGUAUUUUAGGACUUUCCUCC
rnacentral:piRNA from 1 species